rnacentral:rRNA from 1 species
AUUGAACGCUGGCGGCAGGCCUAACACAUGCAAGUCGAGCGAGCGGCGGACGGGUGAGUAAUGUCUGGGAAACUGCCUGAUGGAGGGGGAUAACUACUGGAAACGGUAGCUAAUACCGCAUACCAUCAGAUGUGCCCAGAUUGGCUUAGCUAGUAGGUGGGGUAAUGGCUCACCUAGGCGACGCUCCCUAGCUGGUCUGAGAGGAUGACCAGCCACACUGGAACUGAGAUACGGUCCAUACUCCUACGGGAGGCAGCAGUGGGGAAGAUUGCACAAUGGGCGAAAGCCUGAUGCAGCCAUGCCGCGUGUGUGAAGAAGGCCUUCGGGUUGUAAAGCACUUUCAGCGGGGAGGCGUUACUCGCAGAAGAAGCACCGGCUAACUCCGUGCCAGCAGCCGCGGUAAUUC